rnacentral:rRNA from 1 species
GACGAACGCUGGCGGCGUGCUUAACACAUGCAAGUCGAGCGGAAAGGCCCUUCGGGGUACUCGAGCGGCGAACGGGUGAGUAACACGUGAGUAACCUGCCCCAGACUUUGGGAUAACCCUCGGAAACGGGGGCUAAUACCGGAUACGACACAGCUUCGCAUGGGGUCUGUGUGGAAAGUUUUUCGGCUUGGGAUGGGCUCGCGGCCUAUCAGCUUGUUGGUGGAGUGAUGGCCUACCAAGGCGACGACGGGUAGCCGGCCUGAGAGGGCGACCGGCCACACUGGGACUGAGACACGGCCCAGACUCCUACGGGAGGCAGCAGUGGGGAAUAUUGCACAAUGGGCGGAAGCCUGAUGCAGCGACGCCGCGUGAGGGAUGACGGCCUUCGGGUUGUAAACCUCUUUCAGCAGGGACGAAGCGUAAGUGACGGUACCUGCAGAAGAAGCGCCGGCCAACUACGUG